rnacentral:rRNA from 1 species
UCCUGGCUCAGGAUGAACGCUAGCUACAGGCUUAACACAUGCAAGUCGAGGGGCAUCGGGGGAGAGCUUCGGCUUUCCCGCCGGCGACCGGCGCACGGGUGAGUAACGCGUAUCCAACCUGCCCAUGGCUGGGGGAUAACCUUGCGAAAGCAAGCCUAAUACCCCAUGGCCUCAUCCCGGGGCAUCCCGGUUUGAGUAAAGGAUUCCCGGCCAUGGAUGGGGAUGCGUCCGAUUAGCUUGCCGGUGGGGUGACGGCCCACCGGGGCGACGAUCGGUAGGGGUUCUGAGAGGAAGGUCCCCCACACUGGAACUGAGACACGGUCCAGACUCCUACGGGAGGCAGCAGUGAGGAAUAUUGGUCAAUGGGCGCGAGCCUGAACCAGCCAAGUAGCGUGCAGGACGACGGCCCUAUGGGUUGUAAACUGCUUUUGCGCGGGGAUAACUUCCGCCACGUGUGGCGGCUUGCAGGUACCGCGUGAAUAAGGACCGGCUAAUUCCGUGCCAGCAGCCGCGGUAAUACGGAAGGUCCGGGCGUUAUCCGGAUUCAUUGGGUUUAAAGGGAGCGUAGGCCGCGCGUCAAGCGUGCCGUGAAAUGCCGUGGCUCAACCAUGGCACCGCGGCGCGAACUGUCGCGCUUGAGUGGGCUCGAGGCAGGCGGAAUUCGUGGUGUAGCGGUGAAAUGCUUAGAUAUCACGAGGAACCCCGAUUGCGAAGGCAGCCUGCCAGCGCCGCACUGACGCUGAAGCUCGAAGGCGUGGGUAUCGAACAGGAUUAGAUACCCUGGUAGUCCACGCGGUAAACGAUGGACGCUCGCCGUGGGUCCUAUAUGGUUCCGUGGCCAAGCGAAAGCGUUAAGCGUCCCACCUGGGGAGUACGCCGGCAACGGUGAAACUCAAAGGAAUUGACGGGGGCCCG